rnacentral:pre_miRNA from 11 species
CGUCAUGUUUUUCCACAGCUUUCUUGAACUUUUGAAUGAUCGGUUUAUUCAGAUCGUGAUCGAAAGUUCAAGAAUGCUGUGGGAAGACAUGGCGG